rnacentral:misc_RNA from 1 species
AAGUCGUAACAAGGUCUCCGUAGGUGAACCUGCGGAGGGAUCAUUACACAAUACAAUAUGAAGGCUGUCCGCAGCUGGAGUAUUUUAUUACCCUUGUCUUUUGCGCACUUGUUGUUUCCUGGGCGGGUUCGCUCGCCACCAGGACCACCAAAUAAACCUUUUUAAUGCAGUUGCAAUCAGCGUCAGUACAAACAAUGUAAAUCAUUUACAACUUUCAACAACGGAUCUCUUGGUUCUG